UUCUCUUUUUAUCAACUGUUUUACAAUACUCCAAAUUAUUUUCAAAAGUUAUAAUUACAGGGACUAAGUCGUGGAUAUCUUGAAUCACUGGCUAGUGGGGUAUUGUGCACAUUACUAAUUUUCUCCCAGUUAGGUUCAUUGACCUACUAGGGAUAAUCAUCACUAUUUGGGUUCAUUAACCUAAUAGUGGUAUGACCAUCGUCACCAUUGUGACAUAUAAAUAUAAGAUAUAAAC
rnacentral:lncRNA from 1 species